AAGACAGGUAAUAUUAUCAUGGACUCAGUGUUCAUUAUGCUAAUAUAUUUGCUUACUUAACCACAGUGCUAAGAAUAAAUUUUAAAGUUUCAAGUAUGAUACUGUAGAUAAUAAAUUCAAUGUAUGCUAAAAAUAAAAUUUAAAGCUAAAGUAUGACACUGUAGAUAAUAAAUCCAAUGUACUUACAAAAGUAGGUAAGAUUAAAACACACUAAGUUUCUUUCCCAUUCAUUUAAGACAUCCAUGGUCACCUUUUUUUUUUUUUUUUUUUAAGAAUUUGACAUCUCUGUCAUAUGCAAUAUAUAUGUAAGAUACAGAAUUAGGAAAAUACUUCCUAUAUUCUUCUAGCAGAAAUAGGGAAGCAUUUUUUCAAAAAAGGCCAUCUGAGUAUUUAUAAUACCAUUAUGGGCCAUAAAAUUAAAUAUAGACAGAUGAGCUAUAGGCAGCCAAUCUGAAGAAUUAUGUGUCUGUCCUGUCAUGUACUAAAUGACUUCAUGGGUUUUAGAUAGUCUGUAAGCCCGAGGUUCCUCACUCCCAAUCUAGUGGUUAGGGCAGCU